GUGGGGAAUCUUAGACAAUGGGCGCAAGCCUGAUCUAGCCAUGCCGCGUGAGCGAUGAAGGCCUUAGGGUUGUAAAGCUCUUUCGUGGGGGAAGAUAAUGACUGUACCCCAAGAAGAAGCCCCGGCUAACUCCGUGCCAGCAGCCGCGGUAAUACGGAGGGGGCUAGCGUUGUUCGGAAUUAGUGGGCGUAAAGCGCACGUAGGCGGACUGGAAAGUCAGGGGUGAAAUCCCGGGGCUCAACCCCGGAACUGCCUUUGAAACUCCCAGUCUUGAGUUCGAGAGAGGUGAGUGGAAUUCCGAGUGUAGAGGUGAAAUUCGUAGAUAUUCGGAGGAACACCAGUGGCGAAGGCGGCUCACUGGCUCGAUACUGACGCUGAGGUGCGAAAGCGUGGGGAGCAAACAGGAUUAGAAACCCGUGUAGUCC
rnacentral:rRNA from 1 species